rnacentral:rRNA from 1 species
GACGAACGCUGGCGGCGUGCUUAACACAUGCAAGUCGAACGGAAAGGCCCUGCUUUUGUGGGGUGCUCGAGUGGCGAACGGGUGAGUAACACGUGAGUAACCUGCCCUUGACUUUGGGAUAACUUCAGGAAACUGGGGCUAAUACCGGAUAGGAGCUCCUGCUGCAUGGUGGGGGGUGGAAAGUUUCGGCGGUUGGGGAUGGACUCGCGGCUUAUCAGCUUGUUGGUGGGGUAGUGGCUGACCAAGGCUUUGACGGGUAGCCGGCCUGAGAGGGUGACCGGCCACAUUGGGACUGAGAUACGGCCCAGACUCCUACGGGAGGCAGCAGUGGCGAAUAUUGCACAAUGGGCGGAAGCCUGAUGCAGCAACGCCGCGUGCGGGAUGACGGCCUUCGGGUUGUAAACCGCUUUCGCCUGUGACGAAGCGUGAGUGACGGUAAUGGGUAAAGAAGCACCGGCUAACUACGUG